GGAAGGGUGCCAGAGCGGACGAAUGGGGCGGCCUCGAAAGCCGUUGUGGUGCUUCGCAUCACCGUGGGUUCGAAUCCCACACCUUCCG
rnacentral:tRNA from 1 species